GAAUCUUGCGCAAUGGCCGCAAGGCUGACGCAGCGACGCCGCGUGGAGGAUGACGCCCCUCGGGGUGUAAACUCCUGUUGCCCGGGACGAACCGGGGGUUUCGACCCCUCUGACGGUACCGGGUGAGGAAGCACCGGCUAACUCCGUGCCAGCAGCCGCGGUAAUACGGAGGGUGUGAGCGUUGUCCGGAAUCACUGGGCGUAAAGGGCGCGUAGGCGGUUCUUCAAGCGUGUGGUGAAAGUCCGGGGCUCAACCCCGGAUCGGCCGUGCGAACUGGGGGACUCGAGCACUGUAGAGGCGGGUGGAAUUCCGGGUGUAGCGGUGGAAUGCGUAGAGAUCCGGAAGAACACCAGUGGCGAAGGCGGCCCGCUGGGCAGUGGCUGACGCUGAGGCGCGACAGCGUGGGGAGCAAACAG
rnacentral:rRNA from 1 species